rnacentral:rRNA from 1 species
UACAGAGGUCUCAAGCGUUGUUCGGAUUCAUUGGGCGUAAAGGGUGUGUAGGUGGCGCCGUAAGUCGGGUGUGAAAUUUCGGAGCUUAACUCCGAAACUGCAUUCGAUACUGCGGUGCUUGAGGACUGGAGAGGAGACUGGAAUUCAUGGUGUAGCAGUGAAAAUGCGUAGAGAUCAUGAGGAAGACCAGUGGCGAAGGCGGGCUCUGGACAGUUCCUGACAGCUGAGCACGAAGGCCAGGGAGCAAACGGG